UACGUAGGGCGCAAGCGUUGUCCGGAAUUAUUGGGCGUAAAGAGCUCGUAGGCGGCCAGUUGCGUCCGCUGUGAAAUCCCGGGGCUUAACCCCGGGCGUGCAGUGGAUACGGGCAGGCUGGAGGCAGGCAGGGGAGAACGGAAUUCCCGGUGUAGCGGUGAAAUGCGCAGAUAUCGGGAGGAACACCGGUGGCGAAGGCGGUUCUCUGGGCCUGUACUGACGCUGAGGAGCGAAAGCGUGGGGAGCGAACAGG
rnacentral:rRNA from 1 species